GACGAACGCUGGCGGCAUGCUUAACACAUGCCAGUCGAACGGAAAGGCCCUUCGGGGUACUCGAGUGGCGAACGGGUGAGUAACACGUGGGUGAUCUGCCCUGCACUUUGGGAUAAGCCUGGGAAACUGGGUCUAAUACCGAAUAUGAUCAUCGGCUUCAUGGUCGGUGGUGGAAAGCUUUUGCGGUGUGGGAUGGGCCCGCGGCCUAUCAGCUUGUUGGUGGGGUAAUGGCCUACCAAGGCGACGACGGGUAGCCGGCCUGAGAGGGUGACCGGCCACACUGGGACUGAGAUACGGCCCAGACUCCUACGGGAGGCAGCAGUGGGGAAUAUUGCACAAUGGGCGCAAGCCUGAUGCAGCGACGCCGCGUGAGGGAUGACGGCCUUCGGGUUGUAAACCUCUUUCAGCACAGACGAAGCGCAAGUGACGGUAUGUGCAGAAGAAGGACCGGCCAACUACGUG
rnacentral:rRNA from 1 species